rnacentral:sRNA from 1 species
GCCAGGCGUGGUGGUGUGCACCUGUAAUCCCAGCUACUCGGGAGGCUGAGGCGGGAGAGUUGCUUGAGCCUGGGAGGUCGAGGCUGCAGUGAGCCAUGAUCACGCCACUGCACUCCAGCCUGGGCAAUGGAGCAAUAUCCUGUCUCAA